rnacentral:tRNA from 27 species
AAAAUCCGUCGAAUUUAAAAAUCGUGAGGGUUCAAGUCCCUCUAUCCCCAA